UACGUAGGGCGCAAGCGUUAUCCGGAAUUAUUGGGCGUAAAGAGCUCGUAGGCGGUUUGUCGCGUCUGCCGUGAAAGUCCGGGGCUCAACUCCGGAUCUGCGGUGGGUACGGGCAGACUAGAGUGCGGUAGGGGAGAUUGGAAUUCCUGGUGUAGCGGUGGAAUGCGCAGAUAUCAGGAGGAACACCAGUGGCGAAGGCGGAUCUCUGGGCCGUAACUGACGUCUGAGGAGCGAAAGCGUGGGGAGCGAACAGG
rnacentral:rRNA from 1 species